rnacentral:lncRNA from 1 species
CGUGGUGGCCCCAGGGGCCAACAUCACUCUCUGGUGCUCAAGGCCCAAGCUGUCUUCCCUUGAAGAGGUGACCUUUACUCUGUAUAAGGCUGAGACCCUUACAGCAGCAGGCCUCAGCAGAGCUCUGGACUAGCUUCCUGAUCCCAUAUGUGAGACCUGAAGACACUGGGAGCUACAGCUGUUCUUACAGGGAAAGGAAAGUAUCUUCUAGAGGAUCAGAGCCCAGUGAGGCCCUGGAGCUGCUGGUACCAGGAUCUCUACCCAAGCCUUCCCUCUCAGCCCUCCUUGGCCUUGUGGUGGAGCCCAGGAUGCAUGUGACUCCCCAGUGCCGCCAGCCUCAUCAGUCAUCCCUCUGGAGGGUGACAUUCACUCUGCUGAAGAUGGGGACCCCCAAGCCCCUGCAGAGCCAGAACUCAGCUGGGACCUCAGCUGCCUUUCCUUUCCUCUCUGUGAGGGCCCAGGAUGCUGGCAACCACAGCUGUGUCUACCACAGGAGGGUGACUUCAUACCAGGUGUCUGAGCCCAGCGAGGUCCUAGAGAUCUUGGUGACAGGAGCUCUGGUGGGAUCCUGUCCCACACCAAGCUGUCCAGAGCUGAAGACGAGUGAGUUGUUGGGAGUGCUCAGCCAACAGGAGGGGAGGAAGGACCGGGC